UACGGAGGGAGCUAGCGUUAUUCGGAAUUACUGGGCGUAAAGCGCACGUAGGCGGCUUUGUAAGUUAGAGGUGAAAGCCUGGAGCUCAACUCCAGAACUGCCUUUGAGACUGCAUCGCUUGAAUCCAGGAGAGGUGAGUGGAAUUCCGAGUGUAGAGGUGAAAUUCGUAGAUAUUCGGAAGAAUACCAGUGGCGAAGGCGGCUCACUGGACUGGUAUUGACGCUGAGGUGUGAAAGCGUGGGGAGCAAACAGG
rnacentral:rRNA from 1 species